AGACCAUGGUGAGGGCAUCUUAUCAGCAAAUUCAAUCGCUCCCAAGCUUCAUGAAAACUCUCCCCUUUCAUCUGCUUGAAAUUUAUGAUCUCUCUUUUCAGUUG
rfam:Gossypium hirsutum cultivar TM-1 chromosome 18, whole genome shotgun sequence